rnacentral:rRNA from 1 species
CCUGGUUGGUCCUGCCAGUAGUCAUAUGCUUGUCUCAAAGAUUAAGCCAUGCAUGUCUAAGUAUAAACAAUUUUAUACGGUGAAACUGCAGAUGGCUCAUUAAAUCAGUUAUAAUUUAUUUGAUGAUUAACUAACUACAUGGAUAACCGUGGUAAUUCUACAGCUAAUACAUGCGUAAAGUCCUAACUCUUGCGGGAAGGGAUGUAUUUAUUAGAACAAAAACCAAUACAUGCUUUCGGGUAUGUUUUCUCGGUGAUUCAUAAUAACUAGUCGGAUCGUAUGGCUUUAUUGCUGACGACAGUUCAUUCAAAUUUCUGCCCUAUCAGCUUUCGACUGUAGUGUAGUGGACUACAGUGGCUUUAACGGGUAACGGAGAAUUAGGGUUCGAUUCCGGAGAGGGCGCCUGAGAAAUGGCGACCACAUCCAAGGAAGGCAGCAGGCGCGCAAAUUACCCAAUCCUGAUACAGGGAGGUAGUGACCAGAAAUAACAAUGGCGUAUAAUUUUUUAUAUGCCAAUUGGAAUGAGUACAAUUUAAAUCCCUUAACGAGGAUCAACUGGAGGGCAAGUCUGGUGCCAGCAGCCGCGGUAAUUCCAGCUCUAGUAGCGUAUAUUAAAGUUGCUGCAGUUAAAAAGCUCGUAGUUGGAUUUCUGAUUAUGCGAACCUGAUCCGCCGCCGUUCAAAGGUGUGUGAGUAUUGGUGUUUGUUAAUCAUCCUUGGGGCACGGGUGUCUACCCUUUAUUGGGCCGGGCACUUUUUUUCGGGCCUCAUCAUUUACUUUGAAAAAAUUAGAGUGUUCAAAGCAGGCAUUAUUUGCUGUGAAUACAUUAGCAUGGAAUAAUAAGAUAGGACUUUGGUGCUAUUUUGUUGGUUUUCAGUACUGAAGUAAUGAUUGAUAGGAUAAGUUGGGGGUGCUAGUAUUCAAUGGCCAGAGGUGAAAUUCUUGGAUUCAUUGAAGACUAACUGAUGCGAAAGCGUUCGCCAAGUCUUUUUCCUUUAAUCAAGAACGAAAGUAGAGGGAUCGAAGAUGAUCAGAUACCGUCGUAGUCUCUACCAUAAACUAUGCCGACUAGGGAUAAGUGUUUGUCUUCUUUUUAAUGGACAACAUUUGCACCUUAGGAGAAAUCAAAGUGUUUGGGUUCUGGGGGGAGUAUGGUCGCAAGGCUGGAACUUAAAGGAAUUGACGGAAGGGCACCACCAGGCGUGGAACUUGCGGCUUAAUUUGACCCAACACGGGAAAACUUACCAGGUCCAGACAUAAUAAGGAUUGACAGAUUGAAGAUCUUUCUUGAUUUUAUGGUUGGUGGUGCAUGGCCGUUCUUAGUUGGUGGAGUGAUUUGUCUGGUUAAUUCCGUUAACGAACGAGACCUCGACUUACUAAAUAGCUUGCGUCACGUUUCGGCGUGGCGACCAG